AAGUCGUAACAAGGUUUCCGUAGGUGAACCUGCGGAAGGAUCAUUACUAAAUAUCCAAAAUUAUUGGUAUCAAACCCAAUAUAUGCUCUUGUGAACUUUAUCGUCUCUGACAAUGCGUUUCUUUGAAUGUUAAAAAUUCAAGGAGACAAGUUGUUGGUUAUUCCUUCUUUUAUUUGUAUUUUUUUUUCUUUUUUUUUGUCGUUAUAGUAAUCCAUGACAUAUGGACAUAAUCUAUUAACAACUUUUGACAACGGAUCUCUUGGUUCUC
rnacentral:misc_RNA from 1 species